UCAUUAUAAAAAAAAUUGAAAAAAAAGGGUAUAAAAAAAUUCGAAAAAAAAGGGUAUAAAAAAGAAAUUGAAAAAAAAGGGAUCUGAUUGUUAAAGAUUGUGAUUCAAAAAAAAUAAAAAAUUCUUGCCACACUCUUAAAUUCUCCUGGUUUCCUUUGUUUUAGAGUCUUUUUUUUUGUUUGCUGGUUUUUUAAGUUUUUGUGUGUUGAUUAUCAUUUGAAAUUGAUUUCUUUGU
rnacentral:lncRNA from 1 species